AUGAACGCUGGCGGCGUGCCUAAUACAUGCAAGUCGAGCGAACGGACGAGAAGCUUGCUUCUCUGAUGUUAGCGGCGGACGGGUGAGUAACACGUGGAUAACCUACCUAUAAGACUGGGAUAACUUCGGGAAACCGGAGCUAAUACCGGAUAAUAUUUUGAACCGCAUGGUUCAAAAGUGAAAGACGGUCUUGCUGUCACUUAUAGAUGGAUCCGCGCUGCAUUAGCUAGUUGGUAAGGUAACGGCUUACCAAGGCAACGAUGCAUAGCCGACCUGAGAGGGGGGUCGGCCACCCGGGAAUGUAACCGGGGACAGUCCCCCUGGGGGAGGACGCAGAGGGCUAUCUUCCGCAAGGGGCGAAAACCUGACGGCACAGCCCGGGGGGGGGGAGGAGGGUCUCGGGAUCGAAAAACUUUUUUUUGGGGGAAAAACAUAUGUGAAAGGAACUGUGCCCUCCUGGACGGUACCUAAUAAAAAAGCCACGGCUAACUACGUG
rnacentral:rRNA from 1 species